ACAAGAUUGGUUGGCCCAAAGGUAUCAAUGUUGAUUAUCAUUUUUGUGGCCUCAAAAAUUUGCCCUUGUUUAUUCUUUUCUGAAAACUAGAGUAAUCUAAAAACUUGAUUGAAUUUGAAAAUAUUUUGCUUAAAUAAUGUUAAAAACGAAGUAUCUGCUUUCAUUCCUUAACUCAGUGUUGUGUGCCCAAUCAGAAAAUUCCGAAAUGGGUAACUGUGUUCUGAUGAUUAGAAGUGUUUAAUUGGAUUUCCAUAAGAAAUGCUUAUUUUGUUUGCAUCUUUUUCUUUUCUGUGGAGAUAGUCUUAUGCAUGAUGAAGUUGAUUUAGUGCUAGAGUUUGUUCCUGAGGCUCCAUUUGUAAGGAAAUAAAACUUUAAUGUUUUGGCUUGUAUUUUUGUUCAGAUUCAUUAACGUUUAAGGUGUGAAGUUUUGAAGCGGGACUUUUCUGUUCGUCUCCCAAUCCCUCCUGCCACAACUCCCUCGACAACUGUUAGAAUAAAAUUUUUUAUUCAGUACCUCUUGGCCUUUAUCUGAAAGAAUGUUGAUUGUUGGUCUACUUUUGUUUUCAUAAAUCUCAUUCAGCAAAGUGUACAUUUUUUUUCGAAGCAGAAUUUCUUAUUCACCUCUUUUAUGACUUAUAUUUCAUGUAUAUGGUCACACUCUUUAACAAUCUCCACUCACUACACACAUCUGUCAUUCGAGUAUUUUCUGCAUGGAGAUUGCAUUGGAAAUGGAUAACUACCAAUAGAACUCAAUAUCUCGUGAUGAUUUUACAAUUGGAUUGACAAAUUGAUUUCCAUUAAUAAACUUGAUUGAACUUCUUAUACUUUUUUUUUUCCUACAGUUUCACACAAAUUCUGGUUUUCCCUUGAACUUUUUUCAGGAAAAAAUCAGCAGUCCAAAUA
rnacentral:misc_RNA from 1 species